rnacentral:rRNA from 1 species
UACGGAGGGGGCUAGCGUUGUUCGGAAUUACUGGGCGUAAAGCGCACGUAGGCGGCUUUGUACGUUAGAGGUGAAAGCCCGGAGCUCAACUCCGGAAUUGCCUUUAAGACUGCAUCGCUAGAAUUGUGGAGAGGUAAGUGGAAUUCCGAGUGUAGAGGUGAAAUUCGUAGAUAUUCGGAAGAACACCAGUGGCGAAGGCGACUUACUGGACACAUAUUGACGCUGAGGUGCGAAAGCGUGGGGAGCAAACAGG